GCUGUUUCUAAGCCCCUUUGAGCUGGAUGAUUUUGUGGCAUCUGUGAAAUGUAACUAUUCUACAUUAUUGUUUGAUUCCAUUCAUGUUUCCCUUUUGCAAACAUUACGGAAGCAUUUGAUGUCGCUUUCCAAUGAAGGUGACAUGUCCUCAUCUAAUUGUCUCAGGUAUUUAGUUUACUUUCAUUCCAAAAGUUAUGCAUUUGACAUCCCCUUCCUUGGCUCUUAUUCUUUUCUAUUCAAUUUGUUAAUUAGGUCUCUUAAUUGGGAUUUGCUGGACUUGAUCACAUGGCCCAUGUUUGCGGUUGAGUAUCUGUUGCUGUACAGUUCUGAAUACAUACCUGGCUUUGAUCUGUGUCACUUGAAGCUUUCUCAGAGCGACUAUUACAAAAUACCUGUGUCGACAAAGAUUGAGAUACUGCAGCGCCUUUGUGAUGAUGCGAUGGAAGUAGAAUCCAUCAGGUUAGAGAUAAAUAGAAGGACACUGGCAACAGAACGCCAAGGGGGUUUUGUUCGGACUACGAAGUCUGACAGCUCCAAGAAAAGAAAGGCUAUGAUGGAUGUUGCUAGCAGUUCUUGCAUCACAGAGGAGGAUGUUGAAGAAACUGCAGAUUGGAACAGUGAUGAAUGCCGCCUAUGUAAGAUGGAUGGAAACUUAAUAUGUUGUGACGGUUGUCCUGCGGCAUUUCAUUCCAGGUGCGUAGGAGUUGUCAGCAGCCUGUUGCCAGAGGGGGAUUGGUAUUGCCCUGAAUGUGCAAUUAACAAGGAUAAGCCUUGGAUGAAAAUGGAGAAGUCUAUUCGAGGAGCAGAACUGUUGGGAAUGGAUCCUUACCACCGACAAUAUUAUAGCAGCUGUGGUUAUCUGUUGGUGUAAGUUCCUUUCUUUAUAAAAACCAAGAAAAUUACGUGAAUUUAAUUUUUGUGAAUGGUUAAUCUAUCAUUUAGGUCCAUAAACGGAAUAAUUCAUAAGUUGGUAGACAGAUCUUAUAAAUGUCUGAGUUUUGUGAUGUUUUAAUAAUCGUAAAGUUGCUGCGUCUUGCAUGGUAGUGAAAAUAUAGAAGGUAUAUAUUACAAAAUACAUUGACUUAAUGACUGAUAUUUCGAGAUCCAUUUCUAAACAGUCUAAGCAUAGCCCCUAUUUGACAACCAUUAUAAUAAUAAAUUUGGAUAAAAUGUAUUUUAGAAUAGUAAAUUUUGGAAAAAUGUGUGGUUAAAAAGAGAAGGAAAAGUUUUUGAUUUACUUGUAAUAUUAUUUAAUUAAAAAAUGUGAUUGAAAAUAAGAGAGAGAAAAAUGUAUUAAAAUUUUAAUGAGAACCAUAAAAGGGCAUACUUUUUUUUAUAAGCUCUAGCUUUUCUUAAUGCUUCGACGAUGCUGAAUCAAAGUUCAGCCUCUAUCCUUUCUGCCUAUUGCUUGGCUAAUGUGCAUGUAUACUUGAUUUCUAUGAUGCUCGGACUCUUCAGUCCGGUCGGAGUACCCGUAUCGACACGACUCGACAUGGGUAUGAGUAUGAGACAUGGGGCGGACAUGGUACUUUGCAACCGUACACAGCAUGGUGGAGAAAGCGACAGCACUAAUGGAGAAAACAUCCGAUGAAAUUCACGGCCAUGAUUGGAAAUUGAGACGCCGCUUCAUAAAUAACCUUCUUCGCCACAUUAGCAUUCGUUAAAAUCGAUGUGAAAUAUACAUACACACACACACAAAAUUGUGAAUAUCGGAGGUGAACAAGAGCGUUGCUACCAACUUACCUACUCUAUUAAAGUAAACUUGAUUUUUGCGAUGUUCAGACUCUUCAGUCCUGCCGGAGUACCCGUGUCGACUCGACACGACACAGGUACGGGUAUGAGAUAUGGGGUGGACACACUACUUUACAAUCGGACACGGCAUGGUGGAGAAAGCAGCAACACUAAUGUAGUAAACAUCCAACGAAAUUCACGGCCAUGAUUCAUCGUCAUCAACAGCGGCAGAAAAAUUUGGGGGUUUACAUGUGAGUAUUCAGGAAGUGAGAACGAAGUAAAAUGGUUGUCGCGUAAAGGGCGGAGAUAGGAGACGAUUAUGAAAAUGAGACAGCGGUGGGAAUGGAUGUAGGGUAACGUAGAGUUAAAAGGCAAACGGACAAUUUCUAGAACAGCCCACCUAACUAGCUUAAGAAAAAAGAGUGUUUAUAGGUGGAAGCACUAACUUUAAGAGUUUCAUGGGCUUCCUAUUUCUUGGCCCAUUUCUCCAAUAGCCCAACUAAUUGGGUUAAGAAAAAAGAGGCAGUCUUCUCCAAUUUAUUCCUUAAGACUAGCGGGUGCCUCUUUUCCAAUUCUCGCCAAUCAAAUCAAAAAGAGCUCUACUUUUAAAAAAAUAACUUCUAAAUACAUUCAAAUAUUAUACAAAAGUUUACUUUAUUUUAGUCCUUUUGAAGUUUCAAAGACGUACCCACAUAUCCGUGUCCGAAAUUUGGACCUUUUUUAGUCAUGUCUUCGUAUCUUACAUUUUAGAAAAUAGAAGGUUCGACACUUAUAUAUGUACCUGUACCAAGUCCGAGCAUCAUAGGUUGAUUUAGUGCUAUUGCAUUUGAAUUUGUUGGAAAAGGUUUCUGUCCAUUGCUAGUUGUGGAAGAAAGAAACAUCGAUUUCUUUUGGAUUGCGUUUGGUGAUACAUUAUCAACCUGAUGUUGGUGUUGGAUGCUCACAGUAUCCAAUAUCAUGAUGAUAGUUUCAAUUUGGUAAUCAUAAGUUGGCUUAUUAGGGUGGGCAUUAAAUGGAGGGCAUGCAUAUUUAUUUUUGCCUAUUGUGAUGGCUACAAUGCACUUGGAAGGGGAUUGAGCUAUUGCUUAUUAUAUGUUUAUUUCUUUACUGGCUGCAGUGAUCAUGACUCCUUUGGCAUGUUCUAAUUCAAACUAUAGUGGUGCAAGCCUCCUAUCCCGAACCGUAGUUUUGUUGGUUAAAAAAAAAAAAAUAAUAAUAAUAAUAAUAAAAUAAAAAAACCGUUUGGCUGUGCUUAGAAGUUAUUUUUGUAGAAUCUAGUAAUUUUUGUUAACAAAACAAGCAAGUUGGAAAAGCACAUUUGGCAAAAUAAGUAACUUUUACUUGAGCUAAACAUACUUGAGCCUUGUUCCCAAUAAAUAUGGAGUUAUCUACACGUGUCUAAUUUCACUACUCUAACUGCUCCCUGAUUGAACGAGAUUCUUUCCAGUAACAGAAGGAGACUUGGUCCAAUGCAUAAGACCAUUGUAUGGACUAUAUUUCAACAGUACAAGACUUGUCCUUACCUCGUGCAAUGAAGUGUUUAGUCCCGUUAUUAAGAAGGAGAUGAUGCCGAGAAGGAUUAAAUAGUUGAUAGCGAGCAAUCAUCUAGAAAGGUUGAAUUAUCGUUCAUAUGAAACGAGAGUAAUGAAGUACCUAUUUUUUGGAAUUUAAUAGUCAAUCUUCUUUUGUAAUUGAGUUGUAACAACUGCAAAUAUUCCCUCCCUCUUUGACUUUGAUCGAUUUACCUGCAGAAUGUGCAAUGGUCUUAAUAUUCAGUCGAAAAAAAGGAAAAUAUGCCAUUGAGUUAAAUUAAUAAAAUUUUACUUACUUAACAGGACAACAAGAAAGCCAUGACCUAUUUGAUCCUUCAGCCAUUUGGGCUUCAAUUUCAAGAGCGGAUUAGUGAUCUGACGCUUCUCUCCAUUCAUUAUUUAUUUGUUUCGUAUUUUAAUGCAACUUGUUAUAUCUACUAUUUUUUUCUUUACUGUUAUAACAACCUUGUAAUUGGGAAGAAUGCGGGAUAGUUCGUCGAGAGGAUUCAUGACUACAUAUAUCAAAAGAUCCAAUAUCAACCAAUCCUUUGCAACAUUUUAAAUUAUCUCAUCUAAAAGUUUAAGUUGUUAAAGGACAUAACACGUACUCAUGCAAGCCAUAUUCAUUUUGUAACUUGUGUGCACAACUUCUAUAUAUGGACAGUGGCAUGCCUUGAGCUUAAGAUUCCUGGCUUCUUUGAUACCAUGUUGAACCAUUUUAUAUUAGCUUAAGCUAUUAGAGAAAGACGUGUAUUCAAAUUUCGUCGCCAACACGACCACAUCACAUUAUGUUAUUUUGGUCUCGUCUUACUAAUUAUUAAUAAUAAUUUGUAAUAUUGUAGUUUACAACUACGAAAGAAAAUAACCUCCCCUUUGUCUUCAUGGUACGUUAUGUCUUGAACAUAAACACACACUAUACUUUUCAACACAUUUGUGGUCUAUUGCUUUAAACCGCCCAACUACUCUUCACUUCUUGGCCGAGUCACCCCCUCAUUUAACCUAUUUUGUGUUGAUGCCAGCUCCUAUUCGAGUUUUAGUAAAAUGUUCGCUUCUUUGUCACUAGGUUUCCAUUUGAUUUUGUUUUGGAUAAGAUGAUGGAAGAUUUAACAAGCUACGACUUGAAUACAUGAUCAAUACUUUAACAAAAUUCAUUAUAGCUUUUUAAUCUACUAGCAAACUAGACCUCAAAAGAAUAUAGAUAAAAAUUUUCUCAGAGUCUUCUCUCUUUAUAUGUUUUACCAUACACGCUAAGACUAGAAAGAAAAGAAUUGUGAUUAAAAGCAGAGCUUUAUGCUCUCAGAGUGAAGAGUUUCUCCUCUUGUUAAAAAUGUUUGCUGGAAAUUCUUCUGUAAAAAAGAGAAUACCAUUUUAGAAUUUUGAAAAUCAUUUAAUUGAAUAAAGACAACAUGUUAGCACAUGUGCACCACUUUAAUAAUAAGAGAGGGGAUAGAACACUCAAUUUCACAACUUCUGUAGUAUAUUCUAUAGUUCAUACCGAUAUAUGAAUUUAUGUUUUUAUGCAUUGCCAUCAUUACAACAACUAAUUAAGACUAUAUGAUUCUUUUUCCAUUACGCCAAUAGGUUCAUUGUUAGAUAUAUUGGGAGACAAGUUUUUUCAUCCUUAGUAACUACUACAGCCAUGUUGUUUAUCCCUUUUUUGAUUUGUUCUACCAACAUCAUCACUCUUAUAGUGGGAGCCUUUUUAAGUUCAUGCAAAGCAUGUACUAACCACUUAUGUUCCUCCUAUAUUUUAUCCUCAAUUCCAAUCGGCACUACAUCCACUGGUUGGUGCAAAAUAAUUUUUAUUGGGUAUUUAAUAUAUCUAUUCUAGUUAUGGAGUUACUAACUACUAGGGCAUUAAUUGUACAUUUUUACGUUUUAAAUGUUAAAUAACAUUAGCUUUACUCAAAAAAGAGGAAGAAAAAUUUAAAGAGAUGUCUUGAGGCGUAAUCAACUAUAGCCCCUCUUAAGCACCUAAUUUUCAAUUCACAAAAUGCCUUGACAUGUGAAGAGCAGUUAGAUGGGGCAGAAGUGUAUCAAUUAACAAAAAAAAAAAAAAAAAAAGAAGAAUGUAUUUGAGUGUAUAUUAACUUGGCAUUCCCGUCAGACCAAGAAAUAAACUGUCUAAUGUGGGACCUAUGCAUUGUUUUAAAGGAUGUUUGAGUCUUGCAUUAAACACCUCGAUGCUUAUGUCUCGAUUGCCAUUUGUCAAGGCUUACACCUCAAAUUAUUGAGAUUUACUCCUCAAGGCUAGUUUUUUCAUUAUAGGCCUAAGCUAUUUGGGCUAUUAUUUCACUAGUCUAUAUGCCUUGUACAUAAGGGAAGGAUAAGAUGUCAUUGCAAGUGGAUACUUACAAAGAAUGAAAAGGAGUUAAUUGUUCCAAUGGUCACUCAACUUAGGUCCAUAUCUUUGAUUGAUUAUUGAAAUUUAAAAUGUCGAGUUUUGAUCACUGAAUUUAGGUCAAUGUCUUUUAUUGUUCACUAAACUUAUGUCAAUGUUUUCAAUUGCUCACUGAAGUUUAAAAUGUCGAGUUUUGAUCACUGACCUUUGAAAAAUGUUGUACAUUACUCAAUGAACUUUGGAAUAUGUCGUACGUUACUCACGAGCAUAAUUGAUGAAUUAUGAAAAAUAUCGAGUUUACAGUAAGUAAUAUACAAUAUUUUUCAAAAUUCAGUGACUAAUGUACAAAAUUUUUCAAAAUUUAGUGGUCAAAACUCUACAUUUUAAAGUUCAGUGGCCAAUCAAAGACAUGGAUCUAAGUUCAGUGACCAUUGGAACAAUUAACUCAAUAAAAAGUAACUUCAAUAGUGUGAGGAGGAUGAUAAGGGGGUUCAAAUAUGUUGAUGAUUUCUCUUAAAAGUCCCAUGCAAUGAUGAUAUGAGAGACUUGUAGGUUGUUUCCUCUUAGUAGUGCACUACAAUUUUGGUACGUGAUUAUUAAGUUGAGAAUAUACUAUUUACUACUUUAUUCGUCUAUUUUAGGUUUAUCUGCAAAUUAGACUUAAUGUUGUUAAAUUUGUUUUAUUAUGGAUUUUUAAGAUGGUAUAUGGGUUGUUAUGGACAUAAAUUUUGUAUUCUCGUAUUCUUUUGAAUUGUUCUAUUGGUUUGUCUUGAUGUUGGCUUAUGCACAGCCUCACUGAGGUAAAAUUUCUCAGUACCCAAUUGAAUCUUUUUAUAUAUCAUGAUAUCAGCUGGUUAAAUAAUGCCAUUUUUGAUUGGUGGAUUCUUAGUAGCUAGCAUGGUCAACCUAAACACUAACCGCUUAGUUUAGUACUUUGAAAGAGUGCGUAAUGUAACUUGAUUCAUUUAUUGAUCUUUUAUCCAUUAACAUUGUUGUUCAUUUAGUUUUGAGCUGCUACAACUUUUAAACUGAGAGCUAGAUUGUUCUUAAAUGUGAUAUAUUUCCCUAGAUUUGAUCUACGUGCAUUAGAAGUUCUAAUUCUAGAAACCACAAAAACCGGUGUUUAUGUCAGUCACGAUCAUUAGAUUAUUUUACUCAAUCGAUCACUGCACUUCCAAAUUUUGCUGAGAAAGUUAUAUUAUGCUUUCUUUAUAUCCUCUUUCCAGUAGGCGCUGCAAUUAUCUUACAAUAAUGAACUUACCUUGUCCAUGUUUUCCAUGAAGUUCAAAUCUCUUGUUAUUAUUGGCCUUGUGAUUCUGUUUUGAUUAUUAACCUGUUAUUAAUUAACGAUGCAAUUCCUCAUUACUUUGUGUUUCUCUUUUAGUCGUAUAAUUUAUGGUGUUUUGAUCGUUUUGGCUUUGUACGUGCGUGUUGCUUUAAAUGUAUGCUGACUUCUGCAUGACGAUACUAGCAGGUCAGAGUUAUGCAAUGAUGAAUAUUCGUUUUGGUACUACCAUAAAAAUGAUUUACCCAGCAUUAUAGAUGCACUAGAGUCAUCCCCAUUUGUAUAUGGCACAAUAAUAACUGCUGUUAGUAAGCAUUGGAAUGUCACUUAUGGAGAUGAUGGGUCAAAAACUGAUUUGGAUGCUCACUCCUUCUCUAUACAAUCUCUUUUUCCUAUAAAAGGGCUGCUGCCUCAUAUGCAUCCUAUACCUUCAGAAGCACAUAUCAAGGAUGUUGCUGAAAGAAAGUCGGAAGAAAAAUCCAUCGUCUCUACUUACCCUAGUAACAUAGAACCUGGGGUUCCGGAGUGUGUCAAUAUGAUGUUGGGGACUGAUAACCAUGGUGCAAAGAUGGAAAAUCGAUUGGCAAGUUCUGAAGGAUCAGCCGAAGUCUCCCAAUCAGUGACUAACACUGAUAACAUUAAGGAAAGUGGGCAGGAUUGUUCAGAAAGAGGCACUGGUAUAUCAUCAUAUAAUUCUGAAAUUCCAUCGAAGUUUGUGAACUCUGGAAAUCAUUAUUUAACAUCUACUAUCUUAGAAAUUGAACAAAGAACGAAUCUCAUUUCUGCAAAUCAUGGCCGUGCCCCAUCCAUCAUAGAUCCUUGUGGAAUUAUGCCUCAAGGGUGUUGUGCGGCAACUUAUGUUAACUUCUAUGAAUUUGCUUGGACAACAUCAUCAGUUGUUGAAGCGUUAAUGCGUAAAUCAUCAGAAAAGACAUCUGAAAAAAUCAUAAGAUCAGAAGAAGAGGUUAUUAUCGGGCAGUUGAAGGUUAUAUCAAGUAAAUCUGCUUAUUUAUGCUGGCCGAAUAUUCAAAAUUUAAUUGCAAAGAGUAGGAAAGAAAAAUGUGGGUGGUGCUUCACUUGCCAAGGUCCUGAAGAGGAAAGGGACUGCUUAUUCAUUGUGAAUGAAAAUGGUCCUGCUGUUGAAAAUUUUACUAGUGAGGUUUUGGGUUUUCGGUCUAGAAAGAACAUGAAAAGCCAUCUUAUUGAUGUCAUGUGCCAUAUUAUUUGCACUGAAGAUCGUCUACAAGGGCUUCUGUUGGGCCCAUGGUUAGAUCCUCAAUAUUCCGAGCUUUGGCGUAAAAGCGUUCUUGGAGUGUCUGACAUUGCUUCAUUGAAAUGUUUUCUACUCAAGGUAAGAAUAUUUCCUUAUUGGAUCUCUAAGUUUAUAUACUUGUGGAUAUAUAUUUAAAUUUUUACUGAUGCUGAGGUGUUAAACUCCAAAGAUUAUUGUCUUCUUAAAGAAAUAGUCUGUCCUUUUUAAAAUGAUUGUCAGAAAGUAUCUUUCGUUCACGUGAGAGCUCAUCAUCUGGCUGUGUCUGAACAGGUAUUUUUUGACCUUGUUAACAACGCUCAGCCUUGUGAAUUAUCACAGAGAAUAAAUCUUGGUUUGCUUUGACAACUUGCAGAACUAUUUAUUAUCAAGAAUGGGAUGAUGAUAUGGUCCAAUAUAGCAAACCACAACAUAUUGUGCAGGAUCUGGGCUUGAGUUUCUUUUGAUGAGAACAAUAGCCAUAGGCUGUUCAUUUUAACUGACUUUCACAGUAGAAGUAAAAUGAUCUGUUGCAGUUGGAUAUUGUCUGAAGUUUUAAUUUGGAAACAGUGAAUUUGAUUAUAUAUACAUUGGCAACAGGUGAUAAAUUUAGAAAAAAAAAUAGUAAACGAAAAGCUUCCUUAUUAAAAAUACCUGAUGGGGUAUGCCAGCCACUCAAGUCUAGUAAAUUUCGAUAAUCUGAAAUUUUCCUUUGGCAUUUUGAGGCUCAAGGGCGUAACAAUGUUUUCAAAAGUAUACAUACAUGCACACAUCAUAAUUCCAGGAAGAUAGAUAAUGAAAUAUGCUAAUCUAUUUCUCAGCUCCAGAAAACAUUGUUGAUGGCCUUAGAAUGUAGAAAUUUUACCAUCUUAUAUUUCUAGACUACAAAAGUACAUUAAGUUUAAAUGACAAAAAACGCAUAUUCCGGAACAGAAUAAAACAUGGAUAUAAGAUGAAUCUUUGUCUUAUCUUUUCAUUUCCCUCUUUUCGGCUUUGAAACAUUUCUAUUCGUGUUUUCCCUAUUGCACUUCAUACUAGUUAUCUGAUUAUUUGCAACUUUCAACACCAGCUAGAGUCAAACUUGCAUCUUCGAGCACUUUCAGCAGAUUGGCUGAAGUACGUGGAUUCUGUUCCUACGAUGGGUUCUGCUUCUCAUGUUGUGAGAAAUUCUGUACGAGCGUCCAUGAAACAUGGAAUUGGCAGGAAGAGAGCUAGGUUUUUGGAGCUGGAUACAACUUCAUCUUCAAGUUCUGCAAAUGGAUUGAUCUUAUUUUGGUGGAGAGGUGGGAGAAUUUCACGUCAGCUGUUCAAUUGGAAGGUUCUGCCUCGCUCUUUAGCUUCCAAAGCUGCCCGACAAGGUCUGGAGUAUCUAUUCUUCUGUUUAAACUUAGAUCCUUGUGGAAAACACACUUUUCUGAAUAUGUUUGAAGUUUAAACUGUUGCAGGUGGAUGCAAGAAGAUACCAGGCAUCCUUUACCCUGAGAGUGGAGAAUACGCAAAAAGGAGUAAAUGUGUUGCCUGGCGAGCUUCUGUUGAGACAUCAAUAAGCGUGGAACAGCUUGCUUUCCAGGCAUGUCUCUCUUAUGAUUCAAUAUGCCUCCCACCUUCAUUCCAAUAUUUGCUUUCCAUUCACCUUGGCCUAAAGGCCAACCAGAUGUAAAAUGAUUGCUGGCGCCAAACUCUCUAAAGGGCCUGCCUUUUCUUUUAUUAUAUUUUAUUCACCAAGUGAUGGUCUAUGGGAAUUUAGUCUAGCUGUCAAAGAAUAUCACAUUUAUGAUACUUAAAUUUGUUUAGAUUCCUGGUCUGUACGAUGAAAACAUUCUCUGAACAGCUAUUGGCUCUACAUUUUACCCCAUCCAACAGGGGAAAGAGAUAAGAACAAAGCAAUAUGUUGCAACUUAACUAAGGGGGUGUUUGAUAUCCAUUUUCUUGUAAAAAUGCAUUUUAGAAUAAUAAAUUGAUGGGAAAUGUGUGGUUGAAAAAUAAGGAAAUUUUUUUGAUUUACGUAUAAUAUUAUUUUAAUAAAGAAUGUGUGGUUGAAAAGAAGAGAAAAAAAUGCAUUUUGAAAAAAAUGAGUACCAAACGGGGCCUAAGUUAUUUGUCGUUGACAUUUUUCAUGUGCCCAGGUCAGAGAGCUUGAUGCAAAUAUCAGAUGGGAUGACAUUGGGAACCCGAACCUUCUAUCAAAGAUGGACAAGGAGUCCAAAAAGUCAGCCAAAUUAUUCAAAAAAGUUAUUAUACGUAGAAAGUGCUCUGAGGGAUCAGUGGUUAGGUAUCUUCUUGAUUUUGGCAAGAGAAGAUUUAUCCCUGAUAUUGUUGUGAUACACGGAUCCAUGCUUGAAGAUUCCUCUAGUGAAAGGAAGAAAUAUUGGCUGGAAGAGUCUCAUGUUCCAUUGCAUCUCCUGAAAACGUUUGAAGAGAAAAGAAUUGCUCGCAAAUCAAAUAAGACAUGCUCUGGAAAACUUCGUGAGAGCAGUGUGGUAACGAAUAAAACCUUCAAGGAAAAGGGAUUUUCAUACCUUUUCUCAAGAGCAGAGAGAUUGGAAAAUUAUCAGUGUGGACACUGUAACAAAGAUGUUCUCAUCAGGUAUGAUAUGAUUAUUAAUUGUUAAUAUUGGAAUUUCUUUUAGAAAAAACAGGACUAUAUUUUUAUCAAAGAAAGGGAAAAUGAGUGGCAGUAGAUAACAAGUUGUUCUUAGACAAACAAGACCCUUCUAAUAGUUCUUAGAUUCGAAGUAAAAUCAAAAGAUAACCAAACAUAAUAUGCAGUUACUUUUGAAUAUGCAGUCUUGCUUUAUAGUUGUAGUUUUACAACAUAAGGUUUGAGUCAUUCCUUUUGAUAUUUUCUUUUGUGAGGUUAGAUAAUCUAGAUGGUUAGUUAAUUUUUAUUUUUUUUAUUUUUCUCUGUUGGACAUGUGUGUUGGUGUACCCACAUUGGCUUUCUUUAUGGUAGAUACAUGAUUUGAUAUUGGUGUGAGGUUAUUUGUGCAUGGACAAGUUUUUCCUUUUAUGUUACAAAUUAUAUGCGUAUUGGUUUAAAAGUAGUAUGUAUAUCCAUGAUUCAUUAAUUUGAAUAGUAUUAGAGAACGUUGUGGCUUAAACUGUUUAUGUUUGCUUGUGAAUCACUUUUUGGCCUCUGAAUUUGCAGUCUCAGUGAUCAGUUUUCUCUUGUCCAUUUGCAGGGAAGCAGUGAGUUGCCAGUACUGCAAAGGUAAACUUCUCUUUGUGGAAGAGUUUCUGGUUUAUGUGUUUCUUCAAUUAUCCCUAUAUUGCAAAGACAAAUCAAUUGUUGCAUUUGCCAAUCUGUCUUCAUCAUUGUUUAAUUCAGCAUGCAUGAGAAAGGAAUUCAAAGUAUUUUGAUUGUUUAAACAUGGUUCAAAUUUCUUUUAUUAGUCUACCAUCUUACUGUUUCAUCUUUUUCUUUUCAUGCUUAGUUGGUGCAAUCACAACAAAUGUUGAAAUUUUAUUUUACUUGGACCAAUUUAAACCCAUAUAUUUCUGUUUGCAAACCUGACUUUUCAAAAUUGUUAGGCAAAACUAGUUGUGUUAAAUUAAAUCAACAUAUUGAUUUGGAGUUGUGUAAUGAAAUUUCUGGACUUUCUUCAUUAUCAGAUACCAAAUAACUUUCUCCUUCUAUGUUGCCUGCAGUGUUUCUGUAGGAGUUGAUGUACAUAACUGUAAUCAUCCAAUACUUACACGAUUGAGUUGUUUAGUGUUGGCAUUCUUUUUUUUUUUUAUUUUUUAACUCGGGCACACUUGUUAAUCACAUUAAACUUGAGACCUUUAUGCUUUGCCAUGAAAUAGAGAUUAUCACAACUGUUCAUUUUCUUUAGACCACUGAAUGAUGAUUUUUUUGACGUUUUAUGCUUUGCCAUGAAUUAGAGAUUAUAUCAACUGUUCAUUUUCUUUAGACCCUGAAUGAUGAUUAGUUUGGACAGUCUUAUUGGUUUAUCAAGGCUCACUGGAAUUAUUGCUUUAUGUUCAUUUUGGAACUGAAAUUUUUCCUACCUGCAUGCAGGAAUAGUUAUAGAAUAUUGUUAAUAAAUAUAACUCUACUGUCAAUUGUAUUAAGCGUGUAUCAUUUUCUAAAAUAUUUUCCCUUAAAUAUUGAACUGUUCUUCUAGUAGUUUUCUUUUUUACGUUAGCGAUGAUCUGGAUUCGGGGGUUGGCUUGGCUUUGCUAUUGAAGGUCUGGUGGUGCUUGAUUGUGCCUUAAAAAAGUUUGUUAGUGAUUUUUAAUGUGGGUCUGAAAUUGAUGGUAGUUGAUGCUUGUGCCAACAGAAAGGUGCCAGUAGCAGUUGGGUGGUGCUGGCAGUGAUGUCAGGAAACAGUAAAAUAAGGAGAUAUAUUGGGGUUACAAAUAUAAAUUUGUAUCUUUGUGGAUUGAACUAGUUUUAAAUUUGAAAUAGUGGAUAUACUACAUGCUUGAUUCACGUGACUUCCCAUGAUUUAUGAAUUACUUCUAAAAAACACUUAAAAUAUCAACUUAUUUAUAUUUUUAUGGAUUUUCAGGCUUUUUCCAUAAAAGACAUGCAAGGAAGUCUGCUGGGUCCAUCGUCGCUCAGUGUACAUAUACAUGCCAUAAAUGUCUCGAUGGGAAGUCCAUGGAAAUGGAUACUAAGACGGGGAAGUCCAAGCCACCAAAAAGUAAGAAAGCAUCAAAAUUAUUGAAGCCGUUGGGCUUCAGAAAAGGGAAAAAGUUGGGCAAAGACAGGCAACGAGUGCAAUCCCAAAAGAAUAAAAUGGUUCAACUUCUUGUACCCCUGCGCCGUUCUGCCAGGCAUGCUAAACCUGUCGUAAAGACGUCCGUGCUGGAUACAAAGAUCAAAAGACGGAAGAAAGGGAAACAAGCUAAAUCAAAAAAAGACAAACCGAAGAAGCCAGACAAACUGAAGAAACCAAAAAAUAGUAGUUGGCAGAAGAAGAGAACGCUGGUCAAUUAUAGUUACUGGUUGAAUGGUCUUCGGUUGUCAAGAAGGUUAAAUGAUGAAAGGGUGAUGCAUUUUAGAAGUAAUUUGCUUGUCCUUAAUGGGGAGUCGACUUCCAUUGCAUGUAUGCCGAAAUGCAGCCUCUGUGGUGAAUUAGAAUUCAAAUCUGAGCUGAAUUAUGUUUCUUGUGAGAUAUGUGGAGGUAACAAGCUUUACACGUGAUUUAUCUUACUUGCACUAAAUAAACACACGUAUGCUGUGAAAGAUUAUUAUCUCUAUCUUGAAUUAACUGCUGGCUGAGAAAAAUCGUUUUAGAGUUAUUGCCUGUAUAAGAAUAACUCUUAAUAUUCAUGAUAGAUGACAGUUACAAUUUUAUAUAGUUACGUAUGCAUGACUGACGUUUGGCACAACCAGCUCAGGGAAGGCACCCAAAUUUGUCGAUAUAAUUAGUUUACUAUUAAAUUACAAAUUUUCACAAUUUGCAGAUUGGUUUCAUGGAGAUGCUUUUAAUCUCAAAGCUGAAAAAGUUGAAAAGCUCAUUGGAUUUAAGUGCCAUAAGUGUCUUUAUAAGAACCCUCCAGUUUGCCCCCAUGUUUGCUACUGAAAGCAGCCAAGCUGUGCUUUUUCCAGAAAUUAAUGUCGGGUGUGAAUGCACUGGGAAAGAAUCUACUGGUCUAUCCUUCUUGGAGAAAACAUUUACUGAUUAGAAAUUUCUGCCAAAUGAAGAAUCUAAUGAGGCGUUCUUGAUUGAUGAUGAUCAUGAGAAGCAAUCAUCCAAUUCCUGAUUCUAACCAGAUACAGGCAAGUGAUGCAAAAGCAGGACUUUAAAUACUAUUUCAGAGUAGAAAACAGCAGUUGUUAACUUCAGCGAGGAAGGAAGACCUCUUGAUGAAUUGGUACCAACAGGAGAAGACCUUGCUGGAAGCUGACCAGGGGAAGAAGCCAUGUUUACAUUGUUGAUGCAUGACCAUUUGAAGAAUGGUUUGAUAAACUACCCUUCUGUAAUCUGUAGUCAGUAGAACUCUUCCCGACUAAUCCUAGUUGUCCCCAAAAACAAUUUUUGUGGGAGAGAAAAUAGAUUAGAGUUCGUAGUUCAUACUUACCUUUAUACAAGAGAUUGUGCUAUACUCUAGGCGCUUAAACGUUUUCGUGAAUCUAGCUGAAACGAAAUGAUUCAUUUCAAUUUAGAGCAACCGAAAAAGCGAAGAAUUAAUUUGUUGCUCCUAUUCUUCUUCGAAUAUCCUCAUGUUUUUGGUGAGUCAUUAUUGCCAUAUUUGGUGCUGAAGAUAAUUCUUUAAAUGAAUACAUAUAGCCUCUCUUUAAAUGCUUAGCUUUUAAUCGAGAUACUUCAACAUAACAUCGUAACUAAGCAAAAGACAUGAGUUCGAGUCUCAUUGCCAACUUUUAAAGGAAAAUUGUGAAUGAUUUAGACAUUGGAUAAAAAAAUGAAUCUGAUCUGCAAGUUAGAUCCAUGCUGAAGACGAGAUUUAAAAGAACAUGUGUGGCUUCUCUUUUAUAGCUUAAGCUUUUAUACAUAAUGGUUCAACAUCUGGCAAUAUUUGUGUUUUUGGAAACUAGCUGCUGGUACAUUUUGCAUCUGAUACUUGGCACAUGGUUUGUUGACAAGUUAUUGACAAAAUAUGGAGUAUCCAGGAUUAAUUUCAUUGUUCUUUGAAUCAUUUCAGGUGGCAAUUUUCUUUUUCUGUAUUCUUGUAUCGUGUUGAUUAAAAUCUAUGUUUUUUGAAUUAUUUGACUCUGUUCUAUAGACCAGAAGCUUGGAAGGUAUUGCUUUUAGUAGUUCUCUACUAUUGUUAUGAGGAUGUACCUGAGUCCUUUACUAAUUUAACAGUGUUACUGAUGGAGAUUCUAAUGGAUAUUUGGAAAGACUUGCCAUAAUUAGACUUGAUUUUAGGCAAAAGAAUAAGACCUAUAUUUUGAUUGAUUUUCGAAUAUUUUGUUUCGUUUCCCUUCCAUAAUCAUUAGGUUAAAUUAGGAAUUUCCCUUCUUCAUUAGGAGUUUUAAGCUUAAAAACUGGGGAUUUUGUAUUAGACAUACUAUUGCUUAUUGAAAUAUUGAAUACAUUGAAAUCUGCUUUUUCCCUCUUUCUCUCUGUGUGCUUCUCUCUCCUUUCUUCAUAUCUAUAUUCUAUGUAUACCUACUAUGCUGCAUUGGUUACUCUUUUUCUGUAACUUGAUCUGUCUUUGGUAUACCAAAUUCUUCAUGAUCAUAGUUAUAGAAAAUCACCUGUUAUAUUCAUUUUCAAAUUUUUUGAAGUGUGGACGAAUGUAGUAGUUAGUCUUUUUUUUUUUUAUGGCAUACCAAAUUCUCUAUUGAUCUGAAUUUAUUAAUUUUUUCCAAUAAAUGAAAAUUUUUGAUGACCAUGUGCUAACUUGUUUCACAUACAACAAUGUGGCACUCUAAAUUGAUUAAGUAUGAUAUCAAAUGUCGUCUUCGUAAAAUGGAAGUUCUUGUACUCUGAUACACAACAAUGGGGCAUUUUAAAUUGAUGAAGUAUGAUAUCAAAUGUCAUCUUCUUAGAAUGGAGAAGUUCUUGUACUCUAAACUCUGCUUUAAUAGGAUUUUUUCUUUAAGAAGAAGAAGAAAAUGCGCAAAAAAUAUGAGAUAUAUUUGUUUGAAUGACAUCUCAAUGAAUAUUAUGUUGUGUGACUGACAUUUUCUGUUUGCUUCCUUACUUUGAUUUUGUAGUCAUACACUCAGCAAAUUGUAACAGGGGUGCUAUAAACUUUUUGUGCCUUGCACGUGAACUGGAGGCUGUACUAUGGAUGUGGAGUUGGGGACGAAGUUAACAUGAACUCACUUGGGAAGUGCUUAAAUGUAAGUUCUAGUUACUUUUAGUUAGUUAUGUUGAGGGAUAAAAUCCUUAAACCCUAAAAAUUUCACAUCGAAUAAGGAUGAAAACAUAAACCAAUAAAUGCUUGGGUUACUUCUCUUAAUAAGGUUGAUCUUUUAAGAUGGAACCCUAAGUUUUAAUGAGUUAUUUAGUGCAUGUUUGGCAAAGUUUAAAAUUUGAAUUGGUCAAACAUAUUUUUAUCCACAUAUUUCAUGGGACCCACAACUUAUUACCACCUAUUAUCACACACAUUCCGUGGGUUACAAGCACUUAAAAGUACUACCAAGCAAGCACAACCUAACAUGAUUUUCAUAAUUGCUUCUUUUACUAACAAAAUUUACUAUUCUGAAAAGUGGGCUUUAACUUACCUUCCGGAAAAAGUAACUUUUAAGCAACAAGAAGCGUGCUCAAGUCAAAUUUUGCUAUUUGAUUCUUAGCUUCUAAUUUGCCUUUCCAGAAAUAUUACCACAUUAUUUUGAGUUUCUUCUCUGAUGUGAAUUCCAUCAAUUUCAGUAAACAGUCCUGGUAUGCUGUUGCAAAUUACAGGGUACUAAUAAAAAUCGAACAAGGAAAUCGACGAGACUGGAGCACAAUCUAGAGAUUAGCAAUUAAAGCUCAAGUAUCAUCUACUAUUGCUUUCUGCUAAAAGGUUUGUAUUUUCUUCCCUAGUUAUUGUUUUCAUUAUCAUUUUCAAAUAUUUAUGAUGAAACCAUGAUGCUAUGAAUGUAACUUGAUUUGCAUGUCCUGAAUUUUCUCGAAGUGACGUAGAAGAGGUUUUGUAAAGGUGUGUUAUUGGAUAAUGUUUGAUAAUUGGAAAUAAGGGUUGAAGUGUCUGUCUGGAAUCAUUCCUAGUUAUGGACAGUGGUCUCGUUAAUUGUGUUUUAUGCUUUUGUUUAGAAGGCAAGAAUCAUAUAUUUUUCCUUGUACAUGCCUGGAUAUUGAGAAGGCUGUAUUUGCAAGUUUUUUCAUGUUAGUUUUGGUGGGGUUUAGAAUUACUUAAAAACUGUUGGGAAAGUAAGGAAGGACAAGGUGAAAAAUGAGACGUAAAUUACACGAGCACUUAAAUUUCUUGUUAUAAAGUAAAGAACUAUGGAACAUUUAGGGAUUGCUUCAUUCGACUCAACUCUGCAGAAACCAAAUAAAAAAGCUACGAACUUUGGGAUACAAAUUUCAAACUUCUCAUUUAUGUUCCUUCUUUUGGUUCUAGACAUCUUUCAUAUUAUUAAGUCAGUCGUGAUCACUGAACACGGAUGCUGUUAUUUCUAUAAACUGACUUAUUUUAUCUUUCGUUUAAACUCAGGUAUGGAUUCAACAUCUCUUUGCAUAUCUACUUGACUCGAGAAAACGUUCUUUGUUGUGUUAUAUUCUGUUAGGAGGAAAAAUAUUGUUCAAUGUACCAUAGAAAGGAUCAUACUGUGGAUAUGAUUUUCCUGGCUCAUGAUUUCAACGAAAGCUCUUAGAUUUGUGGGUUUGUACGCAUUGUGUUGUAUUUUUGCUUUUGGAUAUAAAUGAA
rnacentral:lncRNA from 1 species